GCAGAACAUGCAAACUCCACACAGGUGGGACUGGGAUUGAACCCCGGUCCUCAUAACUUUGAGGCAGACGCUCUAACCAGUCAUCCACCGUGCCGCGUCAAGAAAAUCAUCAUGUCCAAUUCAAGGUCUUCCUUUGAGCUCUAGAUCGCUGCUAUUUCUGUUCAAAUAUGUGAUGUUUCUUAUGCCGAUGAAAAGUGCAAGCCAUUAGGUAGCUCGUGAACUAAUGGCGAAUUCUCUAAGCUGAGAGACGGACAGCAGGUAAGUCUGCUGCGUCACCUCCCUGCUUGGUGUUAUGUCAGUGUGUAGGUCCACAUAAGACACACUUUAGGGCAACCAUGCCCAAAGUCCGGCCCCCGGGCCAAAUCCGACCCCUGUGCAAAUUUCUUCCAGCCCAAAGCAUCUUGUCAUAAAAUCAAUAAUAUGUGGCCCGCCAGCACAGUUUCCCACAGUAAACAAUACACAUUCAAAAAAAGCAAUUUUAUAUUUUACCAGCGCGUGGCAGUAGACCUGUGGCCGCACUCCCGCCACGUGACCCCUGUGUGAACUUUUACCCCUGUGGUAUAUUUUUAGCCAAUUUCUAAAAUGGCAACUGAAACUAAAAAGAGUAAAGUUGACAACAAGGGCCACAGUUUCCAGGACAAGUGGAAAUCGGAGUAUUUUUUUCCACUGACAUACGAAACAACUGUUUCUGCCUAAUUUGCCAAGAGACUGUGGCUGUUUUCAAAGAAUUCAAUAUUAAGAGGCACUACCAGACGUAACAUGCUAACUACGACAAGCUAACGGCGAAGGAACGCGCCGAAAAACGGAAGCAACUGGAAGCUGUUUUGAUAGCACAGCAGCGUUUUUUUCCACAAGAGCCCGUGACUCAAAUGAAAAUUCUACAAAGGCGAGCUACGAGCUGGCAAUGCUGAUUGCCAAGCACUGCAAACCUUUUACUGAGGGUAAAUUUAUCAAAGACUGCGUGAUGAAAAUGGUGGAGAAAAUUGAGCCUGAGAAAAAGCAAGAGUUUGCCAAUGUUAGCCUGGGUCGUAGCACUGUGGCACGGAGGAUUGGAGAAAUUUCAUCUGAUAUCAAGAGACAGUUAGAGGCAAAAGGAGUGGAGUUCGACUUUUUCCGUUAGCCUGCGACGAAAGCACGGAUGCAUCUGACACCGCUCAGUUACGGAUUUGUUUUUGAGAGGAGUGGACAAUGAAAUGAACGUGUGUGAAGACCUGCUCGACCUUCAGAGCCUUAAGAACCAAACGAGAGGAAUAUAUUUGUUUGCUUCUGUUUGUUCCACUGUAGAUGACAUGAAACUACAAUGGAAUAAAAUCACUGGGAUUAUUACGGACAGCGCACCGGACAAUUCUUGGCACGGUUAUGAACAUUAACAAGAACCGCGUGAGGACAAGACUAAGUGACUCUCACCUGCAUGACAUCUUGCGCAUCAAAACCACUGCUUUUGAGCCAGACCUGGCCUGUUUACUGCAGUCGAAACACCAGUAUCAGCCUUCACAUUAAUGCAGGUGGAUGAAGAUAGCGAGCAGAUAAUGACCUCAGCUUCCAUCUGUUGGGCACCGUGGGGCGGAGACACCUUCAACCUGCCACCGGUCGCUUGCCACCACAAUCUGUCGCUCCCCAUCGUCCUGGUGACAUCUGCUUUUGGGUGACUGAGAGAUGAAUGCAUGCACCAUCCCGCACUGGGCUUAGAACAUACGUCACGCAGGCCAAUAGGCGCACACACAAACACGCACGCCAUCACUGCGGCACAGAUGGCCACGGGCACACAACUGUGGAGAUUACAAUCUAAGCAUUCUCCGUUCCCUCUAACCACUCAAUAACAUGGACAUGGUUUCACAACAGAUUUGUUGCACUGUUAUGUUUUUUCAUAUUCCUGAAAAGUGGUCCUCUAGAAAUGUUUCAUUGUUGUGACUAACAUUUGCAACACACCCACAAUUUUCUGAUAAUAAAUGACAUGACAGACUCAAUGACCUGCUUAAAGAAGGACGCACAAAUUGCGGUUAUGGCUUCACAUCCAAAUGCCCAUUUGUUUGUGUUUACAGCACAGGGGAAUUAAGUGUUGUUGCUGACUAGUACUCUGUAUCUAUGGCGAUAUCGUUUUGCUUGACUAGAGUCCCCAGCCACAGCUGUCACAGUUAUUUAGUGGCUCUGCGGUAACCUUGGAAACACCCUCCCCAUUUCGACAUACACACAUGCAUGUACACCGCCGUGUUUGCACAAAGUGAAAUCCUGAUAAACAGGUGAUGUGCAGGCAAUGUGUCGAAUUCACACCAAGUGACGUGACAAAAGUAACAUAAUGUGUCAGAAAAGGGUAUCAGGGGAGAAAGAGAGGAAAUAGAAAGUGGGUGGGUGCCACUGACAGGAACACUGAAGCAGAAGUCGCAGAGGACAGAAAAAAAGAGAGGAAUUCAGGUCAGCAUUGGGGGAUUAUGCAUGCCAGACUGGGCAUUUUGGUUCCACCUCUGGUCUGGAUAGACUGCUGGGUGAGGGAAGGGCAACUGGAUGACUGAUGGCUGAAGAGAGGGGUGGCGAGCAGGGCAGAGGAGCAGCUAAGUGAGAAGACGAUCAAUUAGAAUCGACUUUCAUCAUUCCUCAGCGGGAGCGGCCGAGUGAACACAAGGCAGUUGAUUUACCUCGGUCCACCCGGAUCGAGGUCCCCUUUCAAAAAUCACAGUCACAUGAUAUAAAGUGCAUGUCAAAGCCACAAGUGGCACUAUAACCCCUUACCGUAAUGCAAUUUUAGCCAAGAAAAAAAUUAUUUGCUUGUUUACUAUCUAUCCAUUCUUAUAGAGACAAAGUAUCAUUCACACUCACAUUCUCAACAAUGGACAAUUGGACGAGUCUUAAAUGCACGUAACAUGCAUGUUUUUCAAAUGUGGGAGGAAGCACCAGUACCCCCAGAAAACCCAAAUACGGGGAAAACAUGAAAAUUCCACACAAGCUGCCCAGAGCCAAAAAUUGAACCCAGAACCUCUCAAAUGUUAGGCAGACGUGCUAACCACUAUUCCACAUGUAUUUUAUUGUGGCUGUAUUGUGACCAGAUGUUGCCUUUCCCUUGACAUGUCUUAUUUUCAAUAUCGUCCAUUACGUCAUUCGGUAUGCAUUUUCAAUUGCGUUGUGACUCCCGGUUCUCUUGUGACCCGGGCUUCUUGCAUGGAUUAUAAAUGUAAAGACUGAAUACUAGGUCUUGUACUCACACUCUAAAUCCCCAUUUGCUAUUCAUGUUGGCAGCAACGAAUGACUUCAGCAUCAAAAUCGAAUCGUAACUCUGUAAUAUUCCGAAAAAAAGACGUCACUGUCCAAUAAAUGAAAAAUCCAAUUUGAUUAUUUAAAAACUAUCCAUUAAACCGGAAAGAGAGGAUGCUGCCACGUUUUAGCUACCGGAUCUCCCCGCGGGAAAGUUUUUUUUUUUAUUAUUUAAAAUGGUUUACUUUAAGCGGGAUCCCUUGCUGUACUAUGGCCAAUAGUAGAACCCAGGUUGAUACCCUAAAAUGCGUAAGGGCCUUUUCACGCUGCACUUGCUCAGUGUGAAAGGCCCGUGUGAAAGGCCCGCGUAUCAAAGCGCAGUGACAAAGGCAACAGGGUUGCGGCUAUCCCAUAUUUGGAAAGGGUGACAUAACAGCCUCGAAGAAAGUCGGGAGGCUUUCCCCGCUGAGUGGACCGCAACUCGGCAAUAUGCAUUUGUCCUAACUGUUUAUUUUGAAGAGGAGGAGGUGACGCAGCAGCAAAAAAAAAAAAAAGGGGAAUGGGAAUAUCCCAUACUAAUUUAACGGCAGCAUCUCAGAGUUAAAACCUGUUCUUGAGAUUUGUAAUUACUGGAAGAGCGCUUCGAAGUGUAUUUCAGACUGAGGAAGGAGCUUUGAAAGGAAGUUUAAAAGCCUCCCACAGAGAUAUCUUGGUAUGUCAUUUUUCUCCUGGCCCAAAGUUCGGCUAGUGGGACACCACAAUUAUUAUGCCUUCCUUGAUGCCCCCUAGCUGUUUACAGGACAGGUCCGCCUAAAUAGCACUCAGAAAUCACUCCGCCAGCCCCGCUCACACUGGAGGAGCUUUUUGACGUCACCGUGACAGUGCUCCCGAAAAGAACAUAUUUCUGAGCGUCAGACGCUCGGCGUCACGUCAAAACGCGCUGCCACAACCUUCUCUCAUUAAUUCUGCCACGGUUGUCGUAUGCCAGGAACAUCCUUGCAGCUCCUCGUCCGGCUAUUGGACACUUCCUUCCGCGAAGAUCAUCGUCUCGGUUGAGACUGCUAUGGCUAUUUGCAUCCGUGAUCAAUGAUCAACUGCAGGAACUACACUACUGUACAACUGCACAUAUGUUCAGAAAUUGCGCAGUAAGUCAAAAUGGCAUCUCCCAUAAACAAAGGCUAAACGUGAAAUACUUUGUAUUUUUUUCAAUUAAUACAGCGUGCCAGCAGAAUAAAGGAAGUGGUAUCAUAUUCUAAGAUUCAUUCAGUGAUUGCUUUUCCACGCCCAUUCGAAUCCCAAUUCGAGUCACCACCCAUUCGUGAACAGCCCUACUUGAUACAGUCAUUAAUUGGUUACUGUUGUUGCAGUCAUUGCCCAAGUUACAUGUCAAUCAUUAUAGACAACACCACUCUGUCUUUGUGCAGGCAUUGGUUAGCCUACCCAUCAAUCAUUACACGUAUCAACAAUUUAGCUGUUCGCACUUUAUUGAAUGAGAUGGUUAUACAAGUCAGAAACCAACACGUAAGUGGGUGCCAAUUGACACACUUACUUUUUUCACAUAGCUCCCUCUACUGGAUCCGGUGGCUUCCAAUUCAAGCAGACUGUGACAUCGAAAUAAAGCGAACAAAUAUUCCUCAAUGCACACUUUCAUCUAGAUCUGUAACAAAAUUUUUACAGGUGCUAGAUCCAUGCACCACAUCUCUGCUGUUCUUGCAUGGUUUUGCCAAGUAAUGGACAGACCAACUACCGACUGUCUGACUACGGGCAAAUCAAGGAGAAUCACUUGUGUGGACGCACUCACUCACAUGUGUAAUGUUAAUAAAAUAAAGUACCAAUAAGAUCAAAUCAGCUCAAAUAUGGAAGACGCUGAAAGCCAUUCACAAGGGUUUUUCUAAUGGCCAGUUUUCAGUAACCUAAAACUGAGUAUGCUGUGGACUAAAGCCCGCAACAUACAUUUUUAAAAAUACCCAUGCUUGUGCAGACAUGGUCUUAAGCAAAGUGUUGACAGGUAGUGCCAAGUUGGGGAUGUUAUACUCUGGAUGGGAUCCCAAAUGAAAGACGACAACUGACAUUUGCCAAAGUGAAAGAUAACUAUAGACGCUCCAAGACCACUAAAUGUUAAGUUUUAACAAGUCUAAAUUUAAUGGUUUGAUUUCCGUCCUUAAAAUACCAGGCAGGCUUAGGUUAUAACUUGUGAUUCCUGGAAUGACUUCAUGUUUCCUCUUGUUAAGCAGCUCUUAGCGUUAAGAAUGUCAUGUUUAUGGAUGUUUUAUAGAUGAGAAAGAAUAGAUUUAUCCAAGAAACAAUGUCAGAGGUGUCAAAAUACAAAAGUAUAGCAAUGUGCUGCGUCCUAGAGGCAGGUUUACCUUGGCCAGGACAGGAAACUCGACGUCUUUAUAUAACCAAAUAGGUUCCAAAAGGCUUAGGGGCUGACAGGCAGGCAAAAAAAAAAAAAAAAGCAGGAAGAGGAAAGAAGAAGAUCAGAGGACAAUUGAUUAGAAGCCAAGAAGAAGAAACGGUGACUUCACUUCAAGACUUUUUGGAAACUGAAAAUAAACUCAAAAUGUACAAAUCACACAAGUAAAGGCGACAAGCUGAACCAAUGAAACCAAUCAUGCAAAGACGGGAGCUGUUAAUACCUAAAAUAGACUAGCCGACUUUGUAGAACAGACAUCGGACAGUGUAUUAUCUGAUAGCUACCUAGCAUUCAUUCAUUCAUGCAUUUAUGGUGCCAAUCUGUUGUACUAUUUGGAAUUCGACAUACAUAGUUGGAAGGUACGUAUAUGCCUCUUAAGCUGCACAAUACUAGCAAAUUGCCAUUAUGCAUGACAUGAGAUCAGUGUCUGUAUAUUUUGCUUUUUAUUGGCAAAACUAUAACGCUGGCAUACACCUUGUCACUUAGCAAAGUUAAGGCACAGUGUUUUGUCGUUUAUAUGUUUUACAGUAGCUGACUUAUUUUUGCACAAUUUGCUUUCACGCUCGGCUCUGAGGCGGCGAGGUAGACGAGUGGUUAGCACCUGUGCCUCACAUCUCUGUGUGUAGUUUGCAUAGUCUACCCAGGGUUUUCUCUGGGUACUUCCAGUUCCUCCCACAUCACUAAAAUAUUCUUCUUAGGUUAAUUGAAGACUCAAAAUUGUCCAUACGUGUGAGUGAUUGUUUGUCUAUAUGUGCCCUGCGAUUGACUAGCGACCAGUCCUGGGUGUACCCUGCUUCUCACCCAAUGUCAGGACAGACUACAGCUCAUCCACGACCCUAAUGUGCUAUAAAAACGAUGAAUUUGUCACUGAAAUAAAGGCCCUGUUUUAAUUGUU